rnacentral:rRNA from 1 species
UACGUAGGGUGCGAGCGUUGUCCGGAAUUAUUGGGCGUAAAGAGCUCGUAGGCGGCCUGUUGCGUCGGUUGUGAAAGCCCGGGGCUUAACCCCGGGUCUGCAGUCGAUACGGGCAGGCUAGAGUUCGGCAGGGGAGAUCGGAAUUCCUGGUGUAGCGGUGAAAUGCGCAGAUAUCAGGAGGAACACCGGUGGCGAAGGCGGAUCUCUGGGCCGAUACUGACGCUGAGGAGCGAAAGCGUGGGGAGCGAACAGG